GUGUGUGUGUGUGUGUGUGUGUGUGUGUGUGUGUGUGUGUGUGUGUGUGUGUGUGUGUGUGUGUCUAUAUGUACUUUUUCUGUCAACUGUGUGACUAUGUCAAUAACUCAAACAUGGAAAUAUACCACUUCAAGCACCUAAGUGUCUCUAUAUAAAUGAACAAUUUACAGUGAUCAGUUUGAAAUGGAAUCGUAAUGAUAUUCUCUAUUUUUGUCUGUAUACUGUCACUGUUUUUUUGCGGUGGACUAUAAAGUGCUGAGCUAUUUGUGCAUUCAUAUUGUAUUUUUUAUGUUAUCACUGCUGUAACAAAUAUAUGUCAUAUUGAAUGGACUUUUGAAAUCCAAGAGCAUGUAAAACCACUCGGCUUAACCGCUGUGAUAUGAAUUUAUUUGGAGUUAAGUGUUAAAUAAAAUGUUUAAAAA